AAAAAAAUGGCACAUGCAACAUCUUCUAUACUACACAUUUCUUCUUCCAUUAAUGGUGAAACAAAAUCUUUAUCUUCAUCUUCUCAACUUAGAGGAAAUUAUCCUUUUCAUCUCCCUAGUAGUAAUAAUGCAAACUUUAGUAAGAAGCUUGUAAUCUACGCGAAAAGAUUAUCGGGUUUGGAGGAGGCCUUGAGGAUUAGAAGGGAACGUGAGCUUCGUGGUUCUACCACCGCAACAAGAAGACCACCUUUAAGGCGCGGAAGAGUAUCGCAACGGCUUCCUGUGCCUGAUGACAUACCAAAACCUCCAUAUGUAGGUUCAAGAGAGUUACCAGAAAUUUCAAGUGAACAUCAGAUCCAUGAUGCUGAAGGAAUAGCUCGCAUGAGGGCUGCAUGUGAGUUGGCUGCACGGGUGGUUGACUAUGCAGGAACUUUGGUUAGGCCUUCAGUAACAACAAAUGAAAUUGACAAAGCUGUGCAUCAAAUGAUAAUCGAUGCUGGCGCUUAUCCAUCUCCCUUAGGCUAUGGGGGAUUUCCAAAGAGUGUGUGCACAUCCGUCAAUGAGUGUAUGUGUCAUGGAAUACCUGACUCACGGCAGCUGCAGGAUGGAGACAUAAUAAACAUUGACGUGACCGUUUACCUGAAUGGUUAUCAUGGAGAUACGUCAAAGACCUUUUUCUGUGGUGACGUGAGUGAAUCCAUAAAGCGGCUUGUAAAGGUGACUGAGGAGUGCUUGCACUAUGGAAUUGCUGUUUGCAGAGAUGGUGCUCUUUAUAGGAAGAUAGGAAAGAGGAUCAGUGAACAUGCUGAAAAAUUUGGUUAUGGUGUUGUUGAUCGUUUUGUUGGACAUGGUAUUGGGACAGUAUUUCACUCUGAACCACUCAUAUUUCAUCACCGGAAUGACAAGUCCGGCUCCAUGGUUGAAGGGCAAACAUUUACUAUCGAACCAAUUCUCACAUUGGGAAGCACAGAAUGUGUAACAUGGGAAGAUAACUGGACAACUCUGACUGCUGAUGGUAGCCCUGCUGCUCAGUUUGAACAUACUAUUUUGAUUACAAAAACUGGUGCAGAAAUUUUGACAACAUAUUAAUUAUAGUUUACUAUAAAGUUAAUUAUUAUGGUUCUAGUUAGUCAUGUUCAUAACUUUAUAUCAUAAUUCUUGUCAUUGUUGCUCCAUAUUAGGUAAUAUUCAAUACAUGUAAUCUUUAUGAG
rnacentral:misc_RNA from 1 species